rnacentral:lncRNA from 1 species
GACAGGGGUAUCAGCAUCGAUUUCACAGAUUUUCAGAAUGGCCCUGUGGCAGCUUCCAGCUGAGACAUUGCAGCUCUACACUGUACCUGAAGUUCUCCCCAGUGCCCCACAGCUUCAAGUGGCCACACCCUUGGUGAAGACACCAGUGCACCUCAAGGCAGGGAAGGGUCAUUUGAAGUAGGAAGACCUGCCCUAAAAGAAGGGAGCAUCUUCCAGUGGCAGCCCAGAGAAAAGGAGGUUGGAGAAAAAAGAUUUGCAUUUUGCCUGCUUGCCUUGUGUCUCACCAUCAAGUUCAUCUGCCCUGCUGCCACUGCUGCUGCUGCACCAUAACUUCACUGGCAUUAGAACCUAGCUUCUUGAGGCUCCCGACAUGGAACACCAGUUGUUCUCCAGGUAUCCUCCAGGCUUACAGCAUCAGGUUGCAACGACCCAGGCACCCAACCUCAAAGGCCAAACAGCUACCCAGUUCUCAGCUUCUCCAGUGUAAAGAUAGCCAUUGUUGGCCUACCAAGAACACA